rnacentral:rRNA from 1 species
GACGAACGCUGGCGGCGUGCUUAACACAUGCAAGUCGAACGGAAAGGCCCUGCUUUUGUGGGGUGCUCGAGUGGCGAACGGGUGAGUAACACGUGAGUAACCUGCCCUUGACUUUGGGAUAACUUCAGGAAACUGGGGCUAAUACCGGAUAGGAGCUCCUGCUGCAUGGUGGGGGUUGGAAAGUUUCGGCGGUUGGGGAUGGACUCGCGGCUUAUCAGCUUGUUGGUGGGGUAGUGGCUUACCAAGGCGUUGACGGGUAGCCGGCCUGAGAGGGUGACCGGCCACAUUGGGACUGAGAUACGGCCCAGACUCCUACGGGAGGCAGCAGUGGGGAAUAUUGCACAAUGGGCGGAAGCCUGAUGCAGCAACGCCGCGUGCGGGAUGACGGCCUUCGGGUUGUAAACCGCUUUCGCCUGUGACGAAGCGUGAGUGACGGUAAUGGGUGAAGAAGCACCGGCUAACUACGUG